rnacentral:rRNA from 1 species
GACGAACGCUGGCGGCGUGCUUAACACAUGCAAGUCGAACGGAAAGGCCCUGCUUUUGUGGGGUGCUCGAGUGGCGAACGGGUGAGUAACACGUGAGUAACCUGCCCUUGACUUUGGGAUAACUUCAGGAAACUGGGGCUAAUACCGGAUAGGAGCUCCUGCUGCAUGGUGGGGGUUGGAAAGUUUCGGCGGUUGGGGAUGGACUCGCGGCUUAUCAGCUUGUUGGUGGGGUAGUGGCUUACCAAGGCUUUGACGGGUAGCCUGCCUGAGAGGGUGACCGGCCACAUUGGGACUGAGAUACGGCCCAGACUCCUACGGGAGGCAGCAGUGGGGAAUAUUGCACAAUGGGCGGAAGCCUGAUGCAGCAACGCCGCGUGCGGGAUGACGGCCUUCGGGUUGUAAACCGCUUUCGCCUGUGACGAAGCGUGAGUGACGGUAAUGGGUAAAGAAACACCGGCGAACUACGU